UACUGCGGGGGGUAGAGCACUGUUAUAGCUAGGGGGUCAUGGCGACUUACCAAACUAUGGCAAACUCCGAAUACCCGCAAGUACAGCUUGGGAGACAGAGCACCGGGUGCUAACGUCCGGACUCAAGAGGGAAACAACCCAGACCGCCAGCUAAGGUCCCAAAUUAUCGCUAAGUGGGAAACGAAGUGGGAAGGCAUAGACAGUCAGGAGGUUGGCUUAGAAGCAGCCAUCCUUUAAAGAAAGCGUAAUAGCUCACUGAUCGAGUCGUCCUGCGCGGAAGAUGUAACGGGGCUAAGCGAUAAACCGAAGCUGCGGGUGUGCACUUUGUGCACGCGGUAGGAGAGCGUUCUGUAAGCCUGCGAAGGUGGCUUGUAAAGGCUGCUGGAGGUAUCAGAAGUGCGAAUGCUGACAUGAGUAGCGAUAAAGGGGGUGAAAAGCCCCCUCGCCGUAAGUCCAAGGUUUCCUGCGCAACGUUCAUCGGCGCAGGGUGAGUCGGCCCCUAAGGCGAGGCAGAGAUGCGUAGCUGAUGGGAAGCUGGUUAAUAUUCCAGCACCGUCGUACAGUGCGAUGGGGGGACGGAUCGCGGAAGAUCAUCAGGGGGUUGGAUGUCCCUGUUGACAUAUCGAAGAUGGCGCGUAGGCAAAUCCGGGCGCGUAAAUCAAGGGUAUGGCA
rnacentral:rRNA from 1 species